CCUACGGGAGGCAGCAGUAGGGAAUAUUGCUCAAUGGGGGAAACCCUGAAGCAGCAACGCCGCGUGGAGGAUGAAGGUUUUCGGAUUGUAAACUCCUUUUGUUAGAGAAGAUAAUGACGGUAUCUAACGAAUAAGCACCGGCUAACUCCGUGCCAGCAGCCGCGGUACUACGGAGGGUGACAGCGUUACUCGGAAUCACUGGGCGUAAAGAGCGCGUAGGCGGGAUAGCAAGUCAGAUUGGAAAUCCUAUGGCUUAACCAUAGAACUGCAGUUGAAACUGUUAUUCUAGAGGAUGGGAGAGGUAGGUGGAAUUCUUGGUGUAGGGGUAAAAUCCGUAGAGAUCAAGAGGAAUACUCAUUGCGAAGGCGACCUGCUAGAACAUAACUGACGCUGAUGCGCGAAAGCGUGGGGAGCAAACAGGAUUAGAUACCCUUGUAGUC
rnacentral:rRNA from 1 species